rnacentral:rRNA from 1 species
AGAGUUUGAUCAUGGCUCAGGAUGAACGCUGGCGGCGUGCUUAACACAUGCAAGUCGAACGAAGCGCCUUUACUGAUUUCCUUCGGGGAUGAUUUAAUGGUGACUUAGUGGCGGACGGGUGAGUAACGCGUGGGCAACCUGCCCCAUACAGGGGGAUAACAGCCGGAAACGGCUGCUAAUACCGCAUAAGCGCACAGUGCCGCAUGGCACAGUGUGAAAAACUCCGGUGGUAUGGGAUGGGCCCGCGUCUGAUUAGCUUGUUGGCGGGGCAGCGGCCCACCAAGGCGACGAUCAGUAGCCGGCCUGAGAGGGCGACCGGCCACAUUGGGACUGAGACACGGCCCAGACUCCUGCGGGAGGCAGCAGUGGGGAAUAUUGCACAAUGGGGGAAACCCUGAUGCAGCGACGCCGCGUGAGCGAAGAAGUAUUUCGGUAUGUAAAGCUCUAUCAGCAGGGAAGAAAAUGACGGUACCUGACUAAGAAGCUCCGGCUAAAUACGUGCCAGCAGCCGCGGUAAUACGUAUGGAGCAAGCGUUAUCCGGAUUUACUGGGUGUAAAGGGAGCGCAGGCGGCGCGGCAAGUCUGAUGUGAAAACCCGGGGCCCAACCCCGGGAGUGCAUUGGAAACUGCCGUGCUUGAGUGUCGGAGGGGUAAGCGGAAUUCCUAGUGUAGCGGUGAAAUGCGUAGAUAUUAGGAGGAACACCGGUGGCGAAGGCGGCUUACUGGACGAUAACUGACGCUGAGGCUCGAAAGCGUGGGGAGCAAACAGGAUUAGAUACCCUGGUAGUCCACGCCGUAAA